UCAGGUCAUUAACCACUGACUAG
rnacentral:snRNA from 1 species